UGAAAUGCAUUCAACUCUUCUUCAGAGUCAAACUUGAAGUUAGGAUCAUCAAUACCGCGUCAUCUUGAUAAUAUCAUUCAUAGUGUAAGUAUGCCUGAUUUCACCUUCCUCAACUUCAGGCUCUUGACGACGAGCUCUAACUUCUUCAAUCUUAAUUUCUUCAAACUUCUGUUCAACUGACUUUCCAAGCAAAUUCUCUAACACUUUGUUCAUCAUAUAUAUCUCAUGCUCUUUCAUUGCUUUGGCAGCCUCUAACUCUUUAUUCUUCAGUUCAAAAUACUUGUUUUGCUCGUCUUUGCGUGCUUUCUCUUCCUCUAACUUAGCAACUUUCACUUUAAGAAUAUCAAUUUCAGCCUGAUUAGCUUCAAUUUUCUUUAACAAUGAAGAAUUUUCAGCUUCCACAGACUUAACACGCUUUUCCAAUUUCUUCUCACGGUCUACCAACCUUUUGUUAUCAACCAAUACUUCUUCCAUUUCCAACCUCUUUACUUGCUCAUCAUUCGCAAUACCAAAAUCUCCAGUCUCUUCAAGAGUAAUACCCUCCGGAACUUGUGGAAAAGUUUUGUAUCCAGAAGAUCCAGGUGUAGUUUGGACAGGUGGUUGAAAGAUUUGUUGUGAAGUAACAACAGGUUGUUCUUGGAUAGGUGUUUGAUGUGGUUGUCUUGAAGGUGAUUGGUGAAGUGGUGAUUGGAUUGGUGAUGGUUGUUGUUGUGGUUCAGGUGGUGGUGAUGGUGAUGGUGGUGGUGUGGGCUGUUUUGGUGGUGUAGGUGGUUUUGAUUUUGGUGUACGUUUAGGCAACUUCACAAUCAACUUUCUUCUAGCUGCACUAGGAGUAACGACUCGAUUUCUUGCACUUGCUUUCUUCCUGCCACCAGAUGAUGGAGGUGUUUGAGAUUCAAUAACAUGCUCAGGAGAUGGAAUAUAUGGAUCAUCCUCUUUCUCCUCUCUUCUCUUUAGUUGUUUCUCUUUUUCAAUCUCAGCUCUAAUUCUCUUCGCACGUUCAGUUUCAUCAAUAUCUUCAUCAGACGAGCUUGAUGAGCUUUUAUCUACAUCAUCACCUUCUUCAUCACCAGCUGCCUUUUCUUUUUCAGCAUUAGAUUUAUUAAGAGAUUCCAAAAACUUUGCAGAUUCAGGAGACAAACGAACAUCUCCUUCAACAUUAGCUUCAGCUUCAUCUUCUUUAUCUGAUUCAUCAACAAGCAUAGUCUCAACAACUCUUCUUUGACGCUUUUUCUUUGGCUGAGAAGAUGAACCCUGCUCUACUUGAACUUUUGGAGUUGCUUUCCUUCUUCUUUUCUUUUUCUCUUCCUUCAGAAACCAUUCAUUUCUUGAUUCUUUGAAAUCUGCAAGUAUUUUCAACUCAUUAGCAUAACUUGCUUCUUUCAUUUCUUUUUCAUUUCUCCAUUUCUGAU
rnacentral:lncRNA from 1 species